AUUGAACGCUGGCGGCAUGCCUUACACAUGCAAGUCGAACGGCAGCGGACCUUCGGGUGCCGGCGAGUGGCGAACGGGUGAGUAAUAUAUCGGAACGUACCUUUCAGUGGGGGAUAACGUAGCGAAAGUUACGCUAAUACCGCAUAUUCUGUGAGCAGGAAAGCAGGGGAUCGCAAGACCUUGCGCUGAUUGAGCGGCCGAUGUCAGAUUAGCUAGUUGGUGGGGUAAAGGCCUACCAAGGCUACGAUCUGUAGCGGGUCUGAGAGGAUGAUCCGCCACACUGGAACUGAGGCACGGUCCAGACUCCUACGGGAGGCAGCAGUGGGGAAUUUUGGACAAUGGGGGCAACCCUGAUCCAGCCAUGCCGCGUGAGUGAAGAAGGCCUGGUGUAAG
rnacentral:rRNA from 1 species